AGUGAACGCUGGCGGUAGGCCUAACACAUGCAAGUCGAACGGCAGCACAGUAAGAGCUUGCUCUUACGGGUGGCGAGUGGCGGACGGGUGAGGAAUACAUCGGAAUCUACUUUUUCGUGGGGGAUAACGUAGGGAAACUUACGCUAAUACCGCAUACGACCUACGGGUGAAAGCAGGGGAUCUUCGGACCUUGCGCGAUUGAAUGAGCCGAUGUCGGAUUAGCUAGUUGGCGGGGUAAAGGCCCACCCAGGCAACGAUCCGUAGCUGGGCGGAAAGGAUGCUCAGCCACACUGGAACUAGGACACGGUCCAGACUCCUACGGGAGGCAGCAGUGGGGAAUAUUGGACAAUGGGCGCAAGCCUGAGCCAGCCAUACCGCGUGGGUGAAGAAGGCCUUCGGGUUGUAAAGCCCUUUUGUUGGGAAAGAAAAGCAGCAGGUUAAUACCCCGCUGUUCUGACGGUACCCAAAGAAUAAGCACCGGCUAACUUCGU
rnacentral:rRNA from 1 species